rnacentral:rRNA from 1 species
UACGUAGGGAGCAAGCGUUGUUCGGAUUUACUGGGCGUAAGGGCGCGUAGGCGGCAAUUCAAGUCAUCUGUGGAAAUCUCCGGGCUUAACUCGGAACGGUCAGAUGAUACUGCUUUGCUAGAGUGCGGAAGGGGCAAUCGGAAUUCUCGGUGUAGCGGUGAAAUGCGUAGAUAUCGAGAGGAACACCAGAGGUGAAGACGGGUUGCUGGGCCGACACUGACGCUGAGGCGCGAAAGCCAGGGGAGCAAACGGG